UGCAUAGGCUCAGCUAUGUGGACUUCUCUUCCUCAAGGCUAAUCUGUCUCCUGUCACUGUUGAAUGUCCAACCAGACAUUUGUAGUAAGCAGACAUGAGCCUUCGGUGUGGGGCCCAACUCUCCAGACACCAGAUAGACAAAUUUCUGAAGACAGUCUUGGUCACAUACCUGAAUGGAAACCUCCAGGAAGAGGAAUAUGGCUUACUUGACUCCUGUGACUUCUGAACCAGAAGAUUCCAUUGGAGGACUCCGGGUACACUUCAAGGUCCUGCCUGAAGAAGCAUUAGAGGAGGAAGAAGCUGAGUAGGGCAAGGUUUAGAUGAAGUCACGACGGGAGGAUCCUUAUGAUGGGAUGAGUGCCCUUUUAAGAAGAGCUAGAGAACGAGAUCUCCUGCAUUGAGGAAAGUCCUACGAAGACACAGUGAGAAGGCAGCCAGCCAUCUGCAAGCUCUGAAGAGAGCUCUCUACAGAACCUGACCAUGUUAGCCCCUACUGUCAGACUUCUGGCCUUCAGAACCAUGAGAAAAUACAUUUCUGUUUGGUAGUUCACCUUAAGGAUAACCUGGAAGAAGAAACAAAUGCUGUGCCAUUGCCUCAGGCUCUACCCUCUGUCAAUUGGUAAAUCACCAAGCUAGGUUUACCGUUACAGUUCAAUAAAAUAUUUGGAAGAAGAG